UGUGAACUCGAAGAGUAGGGCGGGACACGUGGUAUCCUGUCUGAAUAUGGGGGGACCAUCCUCCAAGGCUAAAUACUCCUGACUGACCGAUAGUGAACCAGUACCGUGAGGGAAAGGCGAAAAGAACCCCGGCGAGGGGAGUGAAAAAGAACCUGAAACCGUGUACGUACAAGCAGUGGGAGCACCUUCGGGUGUGACUGCGUACCUUUUGUAUAAUGGGUCAGCGACUUAUAUUCUGUAGCAAGGUUAACCGUAUAGGGGAGCCGCAGGGAAACCGAGUCUUAACUGGGCGUUAAGUUGCAGGGUAUAGACCCGAAACCCGGUGAUCUAGCCAUGGGCAGGUUGAAGGUUGGGUAACACUAACUGGAGGACCGAACCGACUAAUGUUGAAAAAUUAGCGGAUGACUUGUGGCUGGGGGUGAAAGGCCAAUCAAACCGGGAGAUAGCUGGUUCUCCCCGAAAGCUAUUUAGGUAGCGCCUCGUGAAUUCAUCUUCGGGGGUAGAGCACUGUUUCGGCUAGGGGGUCAUCCCGACUUACCAACCCGAUGCAAACUACGAAUACCGAAGAAUGUUAUCACGGGAGACACACGGCGGGUGCUAACGUCCGUCGUGAAGAGGGAAACAACCCAGACCGCCAGCUAAGGUCCCAAAGUCAUGGUUAAGUGGGAAACGAUGUGGGAAGGCACAGACAGCCAGGAUGUUGGCUUAGAAGCAGCCAUCAUUUAAAGAAAGCGUAAUAGCUCACUGGUCGAGUCGGCCUGCGCGGAAGAUGUAACGGGGCUAAACCAUGCACCGAAGCUGCGGCAGCGACACUAUGUGUUGUUGGGUAGGGGAGCGUUCUGUAAGCCUGCGAAGGUGACCUGUGAGGGUUGCUGGAGGUAUCAGAAGUGCGAAUGCUGACAUAAGUAACGAUAAAGCGGGUGAAAAGCCCGCUCGCCGGAAGACCAAGGGUUCCUGUCCAACGUUAAUCGGGGCAGGGUGAGUCGACCCCUAAGGCGAGGCCGAAAGGCGUAGUCGAUGGGAAACAGGUUAAUAUUCCUGUACUUGGUGUUACUGCGAAGGGGGGACGGAGAAGGCUAUGUUAGCCGGGCGACGGUUGUCCCGGUUUAAGCAUGUAGGCUGGUUGUCCAGGCAAAUCCGGAUAAUCAAGGCUGAGGUGUGAUGACGAGGCACUACGGUGCUGAAGUAACAAAUGCCCUGCUUCCAGGAAAAGCCUCUAAGCAUCAGGUAACAUCAAAUCGUACCCCAAACCGACACAGGUGGUCAGGUAGAGAAUACCAAGGCGCUUGAGAGAACUCGGGUGAAGGAACUAGGCAAAAUGGUGCCGUAACUUCGGGAGAAGGCACGCUGGUGUGUAGGUGAAGCCCCUGCGGGUGGAGCUGAGACCAGUCGAAGAUACCAGCUGGCUGCAACUGUUUAUUAAAAACACAGCACUGUGCAAACACGAAAGUGGACGUAUACGGUGUGACGCCUGCCCGGUGCCGGAAGGUUAAUUGAUGGGGUUAUCCGUAAGGAGAAGCUCUUGAUCGAAGCCCCGGUAAACGGCGGCCGUAACUAUAACGGUCCUAAGGUAGCGAAAUUCCUUGUCGGGUAAGUUCCGACCUGCACGAAUGGCGUAAUGAUGGCCAGGCUGUCUCCACCCGAGACUCAGUGAAAUUGAACUCGCUGUGAAGAUGCAGUGUACCCGCGGCAAGACGGAAAGACCCCGUGAACCUUUACUAUAGCUUGACACUGAACAUUGAGCCUUGAUGUGUAGGAUAGGUGGGAGGCUUUGAAGCGUGGACGCCAGUCUGCGUGGAGCCAACCUUGAAAUACCACCCUUUAAUGUUUGAUGUUCUAACGUUGGCCCCUGACCGGGGUUGCGGACAGUGUCUGGUGGGUAGUUUGACUGGGGCGGUCUCCUCCCAAAGCGUAACGGAGGAGCACGAAGGUUAGCUAAUCCUGGUCGGACAUCAGGAGGUUAGUGCAAUGGCAUAAGCUAGCUUGACUGCGAGCGUGACGGCGCGAGCAGGUGCGAAAGCAGGUCAUAGUGAUCCGGUGGUUCUGAAUGGAAGGGCCAUCGCUCAACGGAUAAAAGGUACUCCGGGGAUAACAGGCUGAUACCGCCCAAGAGUUCAUAUCGACGGCGGUGUUUGGCACCUCGAUGUCGGCUCAUCACAUCCUGGGGCUGAAGUAGGUCCCAAGGGUAUGGCUGUUCGCCAUUUAAAGUGGUACGCGAGCUGGGUUUAGAACGUCGUGAGACAGUUCGGUCCCUAUCUGCCGUGGGCGCUGGAGAAUUGAGGGGGGCUGCUCCUAGUACGAGAGGACCGGAGUGGACGCAUCACUGGUGUUCGGGUUGUCAUGCCAAUGGCACUGCCCGGUAGCUAAAUGCGGAAGAGAUAAGUGCUGAAAGCAUCUAAGCACGAAACUUGCCCCGAGAUGAGUUCUCCCUGAGACUUUAAGUCUCCUGAAGGAACGUU
rnacentral:rRNA from 1 species